CUCCUCCAGCACCUCGAAGAUCGCCGCCCCAAUGGACAGGUAGAAGAUGAUGGCCGAGGUUCAGCGGAAUUGCUCGUUUUCGACGCCGGGAGGCUGUGAAAUGCAGUCUGUGGCUUUCCUGGAUGUGUGGAAGAGUGAAGGGAAGGUGAGCAGGAGCUCUGAGAAGAAAAUGAGAUGUCGGUCCCAGAUUUCACCCCUUCCCUGAGACGUCCACACGUGGGCAUUACAGAUCAUCAGGAGCAGAAACUGCAUCUCCAUUUCUUUCCUGCCUUUGGUACUUCAAUAAAUAUCGCUAUGUUCUCUGUC